rnacentral:lncRNA from 1 species
UGUACCCGAAGUGUUUUGAAAGUCUUCGUUUCUUAGUGUUGUAUGGCACUUCCAGACAAUGUGAUUUAAAUAUUAGUCAUGAAUGAAUUACGUAACUUUCAUUGACUUCAUCGAGCCUGAUGCAGGAACAGCUGAGUAAUGGUGUUGUACACUGCUCAAGAAACAGGCGCGAAGAAUCAUGCACCAAAGAAAGAAACAACUUCAGGCCGUAGAACUUCAGCCGAACCGUGGGCCGAACCGGAGCCGUUAUCCAGUGGGCAGGCUCUAGACCUCUAGACUCACUCACCGUGCAGCCGGGAGUCUAGUCGAAAAGAAGAACUUUAGGCUGUACAAUGUGACAUGUGACAGGACAGGUGACACAACACGCUGUGAGUACCGUUAGCACUGGUACACGUACUGCAAAGCAAAAAUGGGUUGAAAUUUGCCAAGGAAAUAUUAUCGAAUCCAAAAUUUAGCGAGCGUGGAAAGAUUUUGACCAUGAUAGGUCUCACGCGGAAUCGUUUAGGAUGCAAGGAAGCGGCUCACGUCCCAUGUUUGUUCGCUCGUUUACGGUUUUUUGCAACGCUUCGACGAGAAAUACGAUCCAGCUAUCCAACGCACUGAAAUGGGUCAAGGAUAAUAUUCAGAGCCUCAGAAAUUUGGCUCCGAGAUCAGACCCGCCGGACCAACGCAACGCACUUCCUAAGUUUUGUCAUUUCAUGUCAUUUUUUGAGGAACCACAACAAGACAGCUCUUAAAAUAUCACAUACUUCUCGUAAUUCUCUUAUGCGAUAUAGGUAAAAUGCGAGAAACAAGAGUGAUUUCGAUUCUGAUGGCAAUUAGUACCUGUUGAGGAAUGGACGAAGCAACAACUCAUGAAAUUAGGACAAGUGGGAUAAUUGAAGGAAGAAGGAAGUAGUGGCAUGACUGGUUCAAGUACAACCAGGCUCGACUUUGCAAGAGAUGUAAUAACAUAUCUCACUUUGGAGCUAUUCAGUCACUUAUAUAGUGGUAGCAUGUUUUUCGACGGUUAUGACAGGAAAGUAACUUCGAUAGCGUUGUCGAAAGUCCUUGACCACAGUGUAACGUACAAUGACACGAAAUUGAACGAGAAUACUGUCAAAGAUAUCAAAGACGGCAAGUAGAACGAGGAAGAAAUCUCUUCUGCAAUUUUAUUGGUGGACUAUCAUUCUUGUACUUGUAAAAAUUUUGUAGCUCAUAAAUAAAUUGUCUGCUGAUACGAAAUCGACCGACACGAACGACGACGAGAUCACGAAUCAGAUCGUCACGGAACAAGCGUCGCUCGCGAUUUCCUUCAAAGAACGAGUACUCGUGACUCCUUCACCGCCUCAGUCUUCGUCACUGCCAUCGUCUCUGAAUUCGCAAGUUUCCGGGAAGUACCGGGCGAGUAGUUCACCAUUUCUGACGCCCCGAAAACAUCGACCUAAAUACAAAUACUAAAAAAAAGGUUUCGAAAAAUAGAAGAAGAGACGAAAAAAGACUGCAACUCCUGAAAAUAAAAAAAAAAAUUGUAUUUUCUUAGCUCUUUUUUUCUAUAUAAAACCUCGACCGAAGUCGUCGUUCGGUAACAAGAGACGCUAAGAAUUUAAAUUCUUAGCUUAGUUCAAUUAAUUCUUAUCACUAUCCGCUUUUUUCAAUCUUCUCGAUAUUUUUUUUUCUGCAAAGAUUCAAGGACUGAUUAUUUUUUAUUUGUAAAUAGUUUCCAGUUAGUCGUGAGCAUUUAUAUCGAUAAUUCCUAUGAAAAAUUCAAAUAAAACCAUUUCAAUAUUCAUGAUAACAUGGAAUUGGAAUAAAAAAAUUUAUUUCA